GACGAACGCUGGCGGCGUGCCUAAUACAUGCAAGUCGAGCGAAUCUUUAGGAGCUUGCUUCUAAAGGUUAGCGGCGGACGGGUGAGUAACACGUGGGCAACCUGCCUAUAAGACUGGGAUAACUUCGGGAAACCGGAGCUAAUACCGGAUAAUCCUUUCCUUCACAUGAAGGGAAGCUGAAAGACGGCAUCUCGCUGUCACUUAUAGAUGGGCCCGCGGCGCAUUAGCUAGUUGGGAGGUAACGGCUCACCAAGGCAACGAUGCGUAGCCGACCUGAGAGGGUGAUCGGCCACACUGGGACUGAGACACGGCCCAGACUCCUACGGGAGGCAGCAGUAGGGAAUCUUCCGCAAUGGACGAAAGUCUGACGGAGCAACGCCGCGUGAACGAUGAAGGCCU
rnacentral:rRNA from 1 species